CGUGUAGGCGGCUCGAUAAGUUCGCUGUUAAAGUCCAGGGCUCAACCCUGGGAUGCCGGUGAAUACUGUCGAGCUCGAGUCCGGAAGAGGAGUGUGGAAUUCCUGGUGUAGCGGUGAAAUGCGCAGAUAUCAGGAGGAACACCAAUGGCGAAGGCAGCACUCUGGGACGUGACUGACGCUGAGACGCGAAAGCGUGGGGAGCAAACA
rnacentral:rRNA from 1 species